GUGUGUGUCGACUGAACCAAGGGGAAACAAACCCCAAGCCCUCAAGUUCUACAAAUUCAGUAAAUUGAAGCAGAAUUCUUGGUCCAAAUCAAUGCAUGUUUGCAUAGAAACGAUCAUCUAAGCUAGACAAACGAUUGGAAUAAAAGAAGAAAGUUCAAGUCAAUCCGGGUCGCAAGCGAAGGACGGCAAAGGUAAAUCUACUUGUUAAAUGGCGUCACUCGGAUCGAACACACUCAUGAAGCACGCUUCCGCAAGGAUAUUAGCUUGGGUCAAAACUUUUGUUAAAUGUACUUUUUGGUAAAAUGGGUCUUUUGUAAGUAACAAAACUUGUUUGUUGUUAGAUGUCGAACUCGUAGUCGAAGACAAUGUUAGUUGUUUAUGAAUGUUGGGUUGUAAGUUAAUUUAACAUCUUCUAGUUAGUCAUGCUAUGGUUAAAAUGCAGAAGUUUUGCUUAUGAAUUAUUUGACCCGUUCGGUUUGA
rnacentral:lncRNA from 1 species